GAUGAAGAACGUAGCGAAAUGCGAUACGUAGUGUGAAUUGCAGAAUUCCGUGAACCAUCAAAUCUUUGAACGCAUAUUGCGCUCGAGGCUUCGGCCGAGAGCAUGUCUGCCUCAGCGUCGGUAUUACCCCUCGCUUCUCAACCCCUGGUUGAUGCCUGCCUGCCUUUGCAGUUGGCUAGAAGCGGAUCUGGCUUUCCCAAUUGCCUUUGGUAGUUGGGUCAGCUGAAGCACAGAGGCUUGAGCAAGGACCCUUAUUGGGCUUCAACUGGAUAGGUAGAACUGGUCUUAGGACCAACUACACGAAGUUGUUGCUUGUGGUCUUUGUUUGGAGGCCAGCAGGAAACCUUUAUACCUUCGACCUGAGCUCAGGCAAGAUUACCCGCUGAACUUAAGCAUAUCAAUAAGCGGAGGA
rnacentral:misc_RNA from 1 species